CGUUCCCGGGUCUUGUACACACCGCCCGUCACACCAUGGGAGCGGGUUUUACCAGAAGUGGGUAGCCUAACCGCAAGGAGGGCGCUUACUACGGUAGGAUUCGUGACUGGGGUG
rnacentral:rRNA from 1 species